rnacentral:rRNA from 1 species
AUGAUUAGUGUACGGUCGAAUCGGGGGCGUCACACUUACGCUAAUAUUGCUGCAUCACCCUUUCCUCUUCAAGGAAAACCAACGCAAGCUCAAGACGUAGCAAGAAGGAUUUCUGGUGCCGUUGCCAGGAAGGUCUUCGCUCAAGUCAAGACAUACCAAGUACCUAUCACAAACUCAUCUCCCACACAUUUACAUUAUUUGCCAUUUGCCUCUUGUUUUCCUCUCCCCCACUUCACCCUUUCUGUUUUAUUCCCCCUCUCUUUCCCAAUCUCCUCUCUCUUUCGUUUGCCCUCUUCUUCUUCCACGCUUUUGUUUGCUGUUAUGUCUGAAAUUGGGGAGAUUAUCGUCGAUAUGGACAAUAAUGAUAACAUGGAAAAUUUUGAUGCUCCUGCUGAAGAACCCCCCUAUUUUGCAUACUAA